rnacentral:rRNA from 1 species
GCAGUCGACGGUGAUGCCAAGCUUGCUUGGUGGAUCAGUGGCGAACGGGUGAGUAACACGUGAGCAACCUGCCCUGGACUCUGGGAUAAGCGCUGGAAACGGUGUCUAAUACUGGAUAUGAGAUGUGAUCGCAUGGUCAUGUUUGUAAAGAUUUUUCGGUCUGGGAUGGGCUCGCGGCCUAUCAGCUUGUUGGUGAGGUAAUGGCUCACCAAGGCGUCGACGGGUAGCCGGCCUGAGAGGGUGACCGGCCACACUGGGACUGAGACACGGCCCAGACUCCUACGGGAGGCAGCAGUGGGGAAUAUUGCACAAUGGGCGGAAGCCUGAUGCAGCAACGCCGCGUGAGGGAUGACGGCCUUCGGGUUGUAAACCUCUUUUAGCAGGGAAGAAGCGAAAGUGACGGUACCUGCAGAAAAAGCGCCGGCUAACUACGUGCCAGCAGCCGCGGUAAUACGUAGGGCGCAAGCGUUAUCCGGAAUUAUUGGGCGUAAAGAGCUCGUAGGCGGUUUGUCGCGUCUGCUGUGAAAUCCCGAGGCUCAACUUCGGGUCUGCAGUGGGUACGGGCAGACUAGAGUGCGGUAGGGGAGAUUGGAAUUCCUGGUGUAGCGGUGGAAUGCGCAGAUAUCAGGAGGAACACCGAUGGCGAAGGCAGAUCUCUGGGCCGUAACUGACGCUGAGGAGCGAAAGGGUGGGGAGCAAACAGGCUUAGAUACCCUGGUAGUCCACCCCGUAAACGUUGGGAACUAGUUGUGGGGACCAUUCCACGGUUUCCGUGACGCAGCUAACGCAUUAAGUUCCCCGCCUGGGGAGUACGGCCGCAAGGCUAAAACUCAAAGGAAUUGACGGGGACCCGCACAAGCGGCGGAGCAUGCGGAUUAAUUCGAUGCAACGCGAAGAACCUUACCAAGGCUUGACAUAUACGAGAACGGGCCAGAAAUGGUCAACUCUUUGGACACUCGUAAACAGGUGGUGCAUGGUUGUCGUCAGCUCGUGUCGUGAGAUGUUGGGUUAAGUCCCGCAACGAGCGCAACCCUCGUUCUAUGUUGCCAGCACGUAAUGGUGGGAACUCAUGG